GCAACUUCCCGUUCACGAACGAGUCAGUCGAUAGCGUUUUCCACCUGCGAUGCGAUAAAGCUGGCCCCAAACGAAACAGACUAUUUUCCUUGCACUUUGCGUGGGGUGGGGUGGGUGGGGGGCCAGCUUCACGCAGGUGCCAAUGGCUGAUGCGGCGGCGGCAAGUGCCGCCCGCCAGCCCGUUUCUCGCUGCAGUUUGUCUUCGUUGCACUCGCCUUAAACAUGCCCUGGAUAGAGGGAGGCUUCGUUCGACGCCAUAUCCGAGUCGUAAUGCUUGAUCGCGUUUUGACGCGAUAGUGAGCGGUGGAUUAAGUCGGGCAAGUCUGAAGGCACCACCGCUUCAGGUAAGGCACCACCGCUUCAGGUAAGGCACCACCGCUUCAGGCAAGGCACCACCGCUUCAGGCAAGGCACCACCGCUUCAGGUAAGGCACCACCGCUUCAGGCAAGGCACCACCGCUUCAGGUAAGGCACGUGACAUCGUUAACUUGGUGAGCUUGGCAUCGAUUCUUGACGCAGAAUCGUGGCUCUCUCCAGCGGCGAUAACGUGACAUUGCAAUGUCCCCGGAUCAUUCUUGUUGAACUCUGCCUCCCUCCAGGGGUACAACGUUGACAUUACAACACCUUAGCGUUGUGUCUGAUUCCAUUUUUGCUAAUGGUGCACAGUCCGUGUUGAAGAGAUUCGAAAACUUUUGAAAGUAUACUCGGGCAACUGGCAACAAAGUUGAGCCAUUGAACCUGAUGGGAGCCCAGAGACCCCCCCACCCAUCCCCAACCACAGUGAAUUGUUCCAUCUAGAAAACUUUAUUGAACAACAGAAACGGCACAGCAGCAAGCACAUAAAACUGGGAAAUGCACACGCAUUGCACUUCAUCUUAAAUAGACACGCACGCAUCCAGCAUGAGCAGUCAAAUGUUUUUGUUGUAGCAAAAGUGAGGCCCCCCCCCCAAAAUCCUCACGAGAA